CCGAAACCCGGUGAUCUAGCCAUGGGCAGGUUGAAGGUUGGGUAACACUAACUGGAGGACCGAACCGACUAAUGUUGAAAAAUUAGCGGAUGACCUGUGGCUGGGGGUGAAAGGCCAAUCAAACCGGGAGAUAGCUGGUUCUCCCCGAAAGCUAUUUAGGUAGCGCCUCGUGAAUUCAUCUCCGGGGGUAGAGCACUGUUUCGGCUAGGGGGCCAUCCCGGCUUACCAACCCGAUGCAAACUGCGAAUACCGGAGAAUGUUAUCACGGGAGACACACGGCGGGUGCUAACGUCCGUCGUGAAGAGGGAAACAACCCAGACCGCCAGCUAAGGUCCCAAAGUCAUGGUUAAGUGGGAAACGAUGUGGGAAGGCCCAGACAGCCAGGAUGUUGGCUUAGAAGCAGCCAUCAUUUAAAGAAAGCGUAAUAGCUCACUGGUCGAGUCGGCCUGCGCGGAAGAUGUAACGGGGCUAAACCAUGCACCGAAGCUGCGGCAGCGACACUGUGUGUUGUUGGGUAGGGGAGCGUUCUGUAAGCCUGUGAAGGUGUGUCGUGAGGCAUGCUGGAGGUAUCAGAAGUGCGAAUGCUGACAUAAGUAACGAUAAAGCGGGUGAAAAGCCCGCUCGCCGGAAGACCAAGGGUUCCUGUCCAACGUUAAUCGGGGCAGGGUGAGUCGACCCCUAAGGCGAGGCCGAAAGGCGUAGUCGAUGGGAAACGGGUUAAUAUUCCCGUACUUGGUGUUACUGCGAAGGGGGGACGGAGAAGGCUAUGUUGGCCGGG
rnacentral:rRNA from 1 species